rnacentral:rRNA from 1 species
GACGAACCGUGCAAACGUUGUUCGGAAUCACUGGGCUUAAAGGGCGCGUAGGCGGGCGAUCAAGUCCGGGGUGAAAUCCUUCGGCUUAACCGAAGAACAGCCUUGGAUACUGGCCGUCUCGAGGAAGGUAGGGGCCGUUGGAACUUCCGGUGGAGCGGUGAAAUGCGUUGAUAUCGGAAGGAACGCCGGUGGCGAAAGCGAAGGCUGGACCUUUUCUGACGCUGAGGCGCGAAAGCCAGGGGAGCAAACGG